AUUGAACGCUAGCGGGAUGCUUUACACAUGCAAGUCGAACGAGUGGCGGACGGGUGAGUAAUGUAUCGGAACGUUCCCAGUAGCGGGGGAUAAAUACUCGAAAGAGUGGCUAAUACCGCCUACUAUUGGUACGGCCGAUAUCGGAUUAGCUAGGUGGGGGGGUAAAGGCUACCCAGGGCAACGAUCCGUAGCUGGUUUGAGAGGAAGAACGGCCACACUGGGACUGAGACACGGCCCAGACUCCUACGGGAGGAGGCAGUGGGGAAUUUUGGACAAUGGGGGAAAUCCUGCUCCAGCCAUCCCGCGGGUAUGAGAAGGCCUUCGGGUUUUAAAGUACUUUUGGCAGAGAAGCGGUAUCUGCAGAAUAAGCACCGGCUAACUACGUGCCAGCAGCCGCGGUAAUUC
rnacentral:rRNA from 1 species